GUGCAACCAAUGGGAACUUGACAUAACACAUGCGUGGGGCCAUUUCUAUCUCCUCUCUUGGUUGCAUUUGCAUUGCUGCUGCUAAUGGCCAUAGCUCCCAGCACACUCCGCAGUUGCUGUACAGCUCCAGGGCAGCAAUGGCGCAUACCAUGACUCCCCUUUCAACAGCGCAAAACACAACCUCCAUUCUGAAGAUUGCUCCAAAAUCCCCAACUCUGAAGAACAGCAGCGACCUUUCUCUGGGAGCCAAAUGCGACACCAGGAGGUCAGUGAAGUAUAUGUAUAUUCAGUUCAAUUUCUCUUUCUGAAUGUGUUUGUGUUUCUCCCCUUCUUAGAACUUCGAUGUAUUGCUGUAACAGGGCACUUGUAUGUGGCUUGAUUGCUGCUGGUGCUGGUGCAAUGCUGGGACCUGACAUUGCUUCUGCUGCGUCUAAGAGACGGCCUCCGCCGCCUUCGCCGACGGAGGAGAAGAAAGACCCGAACGUUAGCGGCGUGCAGGCUAAGGUGCUUGCCAGCAAGAGGAGGAAGGAGGCCAUGAAGGAAGCUGUGGCCAAGUUGAGGGAGAAAGGGAAGCCUGUUGAUAAGUGAAGGGCAGAACCACAGAACAAGUAGCCUUUGGUUCCAGCCUGCUUUUUCUCCUCUCGUUCGCUGCUGGCCCUGCUGCUGUGCGUUUCUGCAUCAAUAAUUUCGUUGCACAAUUUUCCCAGUUUUUAUAAUUUUCAAUGGGUUGCUUAAUUUUCACUGGAAAAUUUACGGCUUCAUAGUUCAUGCAGAUACACAGUACUUCUUGUUUUUUUGAUAAAAAGGAUUUCCCAUGGGAAACAAGGAAAAUGAUUUGGGUUACCAGAAUACUUAGAAAGAAGGAUAAUGAUUUUUCACGGUCAGGUAUUCUUGAAAAAAAAAGGAAGGGUUUUUAUUACAACCUUAACAUAUACAUAUUCAAAUUUACCGUGUGUGCUUCAUGGCUUUCUACACAUGGAAGAAGAGACUAUCCAUCAUUUUCUUUUUGAGUGUUCCUACGUCAAAUUACUGUGGUGUGCGGUACAUAUUGUUUUUGAAUUGCACCACCAUUGAACUUUGAGGAUUUGUUCCAUCAAUGGUUACAACAGGUGGGGUAGAAACCAAACCCACACUUAUUGACAGGGGCAGCGGUUUUGUGUUGGGCAAUUUGGCUCACAAGAAAUGAUGUUGUUUUUGAUAAAUGCCAACCAAAAACUUUUAUGCAGGUUCUUUUCAGGGGAACGCAUUGGUUUCGGCAGUGGGCGCUGUUGCAGCGCAGUGAUUAGAUAAAAGGAGAUG
rnacentral:lncRNA from 1 species